rnacentral:misc_RNA from 1 species
AUCCAAAAGAGAGAAAAAUACAGGGUUUAAGACGAAAACGACGAGCCAAAAAGAUUCCUGUUUUUUCUCUCGAAGAUAAACUAAGCUAAUGCUGAUAAAAUGGAAACUGUGAUAUUGUACAGACUACAGAGAUAGUGAAUCAAGGAGAAGAAAUUGCACAGAAACAGACAUAAAAUCGAGAGAGAGAAACUAACUAAGAUGGAGAAGAGAGAGAGAGAGAGAG